UUUUGAUUCGGAGAAAGUGUUACCAGGGAGCCGUUCCCGAAAGGGCCGCCGGGUUCCCUUCCUUUUUAAGGACCCCCCCGGAAACCCCCCACGUGGUGGAGGGUUGUCCCGGGAGGAACCGGUUGGCUGGAAGGGGCCCCGGUUGGGGGCAUUUAGCAAGACAGCAACGAGCGCGCCGGUGGGGUGGGGAAAGCCCGGGCCGGAGAAGGAAUUGCCAGACACACUGUUGGGUCCUGAGGCAACAGGCCCGCGGGCUCGUCCUUUUGCGGACGGGUGCCGGCUCUCGAAAGGUUCUCGGGGGUUCUGGUUGCUGCCCUGCUUUGGUGGUGGGGUGUGGUGUGAUUG
rnacentral:misc_RNA from 1 species